rnacentral:sRNA from 1 species
UAGCAACGUGCUCCGAUUUCGCCCUGGC